UGGGGAAUAUUGGACAAUGGGCGCAAGCCUGAUCCAGCAAUGCCGCGUGUGUGAAGAAGGCCUUCGGGUUGUAAAGCACUUUUAUCAGGAGCGAAACGCUGUCGGCUAAUACCCGGCGGAACUGACGGUACCUGAGGAAUAAGCACCGGCUAACUUCGUGCCAGCAGCCGCGGUAAUACGAAGGGUGCAAGCGUUAAUCGGAAUUACUGGGCGUAAAGCGUGCGUAGGCGGUUUCUUAAGUCUGCUGUGAAACCCCCGGGCUCAACCUGGGAAUGGCAGUGGAUACUGGGAGGCUAGAGUGUGUCAGAGGGUGGUGGAAUUCCCGGUGUAGCGGUGAAAUGCGUAGAGAUCGGGAGGAACAUCAGUGGCGAAGGCGGCCACCUGGGACAACACUGACGCUGAGGCACGAAAGCGUGGGGAGCAAACAGGAUUAGAUACCCUGGUAGUCCACGCCCUAAAGCGAUGCGAACUGGAUGUUGGUCUCAACUCGGAGAUCAGUGUCGAAGCUAACGCGUUAAGUUCGCCGCCUGGGGAGUACGG
rnacentral:rRNA from 1 species